rnacentral:rRNA from 1 species
UACGGAGGAUGCGAGCGUUAUCCUGAUUUAUUGGGUUUAAAGGGUGCGUAGGCGGCUUUUUAAGUCAGCGGUGAAAUUUUGCAGCUUAACUGUAACAGUGCCGUUGAUACUGGGGAGCUAGGAUUUGGUUGCUGUGGGUGGAAUGUGUGGUGUAGCGGUGAAAUGCUUGGAGAUCACACAGAAUAUCGAUUGCGAAGGCAGCUCACAAAGCCAAGAUUGACGCUGAGGCACGAAAGUGUGGGGAUCAAACAGGA